rnacentral:tRNA from 1 species
GCCCCGGUAGCUCAGCCCGGUCGGAGCGCCCAGGGGCAAAGCCCCGUGUAGGCCUUGUAAGCGGGAGGUCCCGGGUUCGAAGGCGGCUUUGCCGCCG